rnacentral:lncRNA from 1 species
ACCUCUUGGCUAAGACUUUUCAAUUGAUCCCAAUAAUACCUCUUAGGGGAGGUAAUAUUGGAAGGUUGUUGAAUUAGUAAGUGAUAUGCUCAUCACUCCUUUUCUUCUUCUUACUCUCUUUUUAUCUCGCCCUCUCUUUCCCCUCCAUCCAUACAAUCCCUUAGAAGGCUCUUCGGAGGUGUAUUACUUAUCGGGCUUGAUCUGAAUUCUCACGCUCUCUUGAAUCCUCCAGGGUACUCAGGCCUCGUGCUUGGUACACUUUCUAGAAGGCGCCG